GGGGAUUUAGCUCAGUGAUAGAGCGCUUGCCUAGCAAGCGCAAGGCCCUGGGUUCGAUCCCCAGCUCCG
rnacentral:tRNA from 1 species